AGCGGCGGACGGGUGAGUAAUGCCUAGGAAUCUGCCUGGUAGUGGGGGAUAACGUCCGGAAACGGGCGCUAAUACCGCAUACGUCCUGAGGGAGAAAGUCGGGGAUCUUCGGACCUCACGCUAUCAGAUGAGCCUAGGUCGGAUUAGAUAGUUGGUGGGGUAAAGGCCUACCAAGGCGACGAUCCGUAACUGGUCUGAGAGGAUGAUCAGUCACACUGGAACUGAGACACGGUCCAGACUCCUACGGGAGGCAGCAGUGGGGAAUAUUGGACAAUGGGCGAAAGCCUGAUCCAGCCAUGCCGCGUGUGUGAAGAAGGUCUUCGGAUUGUAAAGCACUUUAAGUUGGGAGGAAGGGCAGUAAGUUAAUACCUUGCUGUUUUGACGUUACCAACAGAAUAAGCACCGGCUAACUUCGUGCCAGCAGCCGCGGUAAUACGAAGGGUGCAAGCGUUAAUCGGAAUUACUGGGCGUAAAGCGCGCGUAGGUGGUUCAGCAAGUUGGAUGUGAAAUCCCCGGGCUCAACCUGGGAACUGCAUCCAAAACUACUGAGCUAGAGUACGGUAGAGGGUGGUGGAAUUUCCUGUGUAGCGGUGAAAUGCGUAGAUAUAGGAAGGAACACCAGUGGCGAAGGCGACCACCUGGACUGAUACUGACACUGAGGUGCGAAAGCGUGGGGAGCAAACAGGAUUAGAUACCCUGGUAGUSCACGCCGUAAACGAUGUCGACUAGCCGUUGGGAUCCUUUGAGAUCUUAGUGGCGCAGCUAACGCGAUAAGUCGACCGCCUGGGGAGUACGGCCGCAAGGUUAAAACUCAAAUGAAUUGACGGGGGCCCGCACAAGCGGUGGAGCAUGUGGUUUAAAUCGAAGCAACGCGAAGAACCUUACCUGGCCUUGACAUGCUGAGAACUUUCCAGAGAUGGAUUGGUGCCUUCGGGAACUCAGACACAGGUGCUGCAUAGCUGUCGUCAGCUCGUGUCGUGAGAUGUUGGGUUAAGUCCCGUAACGAGCGCAACCCUUGUCCUUAGUUACCAGCACCUCGGGUGGGCACUCUAAGGAGACUGCCGGUGACAAACCGGAGGAAGGUGGGGAUGACGUCAAGUCAUCAUGGCCCUUACGGCCAGGGCUACACACGUGCUACAAUGGUCGGUACAAAGGGUUGCCAAGCCGCGAGGUGGAGCUAAUCCCAUAAAACCGAUCGUAGUCCGGAUCGCAGUCUGCAACUCGACUGCGUGAAGUCGGAAUCGCUAGUAAUCGUGAAUCAGAAUGUCACGGUGAAUACGUUGCCGGGCCUUGUACACACCGCCCGUCACACCAUGGGAGUGGGUUGCUCCAGAAGUAGCGAGUCUAACGGCU
rnacentral:rRNA from 1 species